GAAAAGCUCGAAUACAAAAAUAAAUAUCAAAAUUUACAACAAUUAUUCCAGUUUGUGGCAAUCAAAAUGAUGCCUAUGAAGAAGAUUAGUUAUAUAAAAGCGACUUUGAUGGUCAUCCUCAUAGUCAUCGCAUCUCGUUAGUCUUUCUGUCGUUUUUUCUUCGCCCCUUCUCUCAUACAAACUAUUUACUUAUAUCGAUUUAACAAUUUGUAUCGAUGCUAACAGGGCAAUUGCUGGAAGUUGGAGCCAGGGACGUCGCCUCGCAAGCAAAAACUCAAGCUACUUCAGAUGGUAACUGUAAAAGUGACGGCGAUUGCUCUGGCUUAAUCUAUUGUAUUCCUGAGCAAGGCACAGCAAAAUGUAUUAAUAACCAUUGUUGUUGUAGUGGCGGCGGUGAAUUCUAGAAAAUUGAAUAUCAGUUCAUCAAUAAACAUGCAAUUAAAUGAUAUCUUAAUAUCUAAAA
rnacentral:lncRNA from 1 species